UCAUAUGCUUCGAGAAAGAAAAAACCUACAAGGUAUGUUAGAAAUGUUUUACCCAACAACACCAUUGUCUAACAUCACAAAUGGUAAGAUUCAUAUUUAAGCAUUAUGUUUAUAUUUGAAGUGUUUAAAUGUUUUUAAUGUUCAAUUUGUAUAACUCUUUUUAAUUUAUAUUUCAUUUUGAGCUUUUGAUACACAUACAAUUGUUAUUUAGUGAACACAUCCUCUUCAUGUAGUGCUCUAAAAACACCAUCACAUUCAACAAUACAAACAAUAUCCCACAAAGAUUCAUUUUUUAUAUGUUAUGCCUCUUUCUUAUUACAUAUUUGUUUUUAUAUUUGCUUAUCUAUUGUAAUAUUAAUAUUUUUUAAUGUAUCUCCCCCGUUUAUGAUAUGGAUUUUCAUUUCAGAAAAUAAUUUUUUCAUACCCCCUAAUUGUCAAGUUACUCGAAACCUUACCGAAUUACCUUCGGCUACCCCGUCUCAUAACAUUAAUAUACACCUAAAUAUUCAAUCCACAUUUAUUUCCUCAAGGACGCCACUUUCACAGCUAACCAGUCAAGGUAAAGUAUUCUUAAUUUCUUUUAUAUUAUAUUUAUAUUUUUACAUCCACUUCUUGAAUCAUAUAACAUCAAUUUUAACUUCCCAAUAUAUAAACUUUUAUCAUUUAAUUUUUAAUACAUAUAUGUCUAUAAUAUUUAAUUUGUAUAACUAAUUUUUUCCUUUAAUAUCUUAUUUAAUUUAAUAUUUCAUAAAUACUAUUCAACUUUAGUUCAUUCAUCCUCGUCAUCAAAUGCUCUAAAAACACCAUGUCAUCCAACGAUACAAAGAAAUUCCCACAAAGGUAUAUUUUCUUAUAUUAUAUGCCUAUUUUGUAUUGCAUUUUUUGUUUUUUUUUUCUAUUUGCUUAUGUGUGUUAAAUUCGUAUAUUUUAUUUAUAUAUUUCGCUUCUUUGUCAUACAAAUUUUCAUUUUCAGAAAAUAAUUUCUUCGUACCCCCUAAUUGUCGAGUUGCUCGAAAGUUUACCAAAUUACCUUUAGAAAUCACCGGUCAAGGUAAAUUAUAAUUAAUUUCUUUAAUAUUAUAUUUACAUCCACAUCUUAAAUCAUAUAACCACAAUUUUAAUUUUCCAAUAUAGUAACCGUUAAAGUAAGAAAAUAACAAUUGUAAUCUACCAUAUACUUCCUAUACUUCAAAUGAACAUACAAAUCAAAAUUCAACAACUUUCAAUGUUAUUAACAUGCAUCAUAAACCUGAUCAUACUUUUUCCUACUAUUUGAUUACUAAUUAGUACAUAUAUAUAUAUCUUUAUUCUAUCAAAAUUUUAUUUACAUCAUCUCUAAUAUUAUAUCGUAUCUCAUCUUUCAAAAAUCCUUCACGAACAUUACCAAUACAAGCAUCCUGAUUAUCCAGUGCUCUAGACUUUUCCAACAACCAAGAUACAAUUCAGCACAACAACACAACUCAUUCAAUAAGAGGGAAACGGAAACAAUUUAAUACAAAAUAUAUUCCUUUUUUUGAGUUGAAUGAAGAUUUUGUUGAACCUUCAGGUACCCAUAUUGUUCAACUUGAUCGUUCAUUUAUUAAUAAUGAUCAGCUUCAUCAUUCAAGUGUGUUAUUAUAUAUUUUAUUUAUACAUACAAUUACACAUUUUUCAGUUGGUACCAGUGCUAACUCUAAAGAAAAGAAAAAAAGACGCGGACCAAUUUCUACAAAAAAAAAAAAAAAAAAAGAAGAAGAAGACACAAAUAUGUAUGCCUUCUACUUCAAAUGCUCAAAAUGAUGUCACCGGUAACAAUCAAAGUAAAUUUAUCGAAAUAAGCAAAUGUAUUAUAUCCAUACCAUAAAUUCUUUGUCAUUACAAAUAAAAUGCCGUUACUCUAUUACAUUUCAAGCAUACCACAAAUAUAAUUUGGUAAACUUUUUUAUUUAUUUACAGAUUAUUUGGAUUCUGAAGAUGUUGUAUAUGUUUGCUCAGUAUGUAAAGCUAAAGUGUGGCAAGGAGAAGCAAUUCGAGGAAAUAAAGAUUUAAAGAAAACAUAUCAUUCCAUUUGUUGUGACAAUGGAAAAGUUGAACUAGCCAGUUUGAUUCACCCACCUCAGUUGUUGCUUGAUUUAUAUAGCGGUGUUUCUGAAAAAGGCAGCUUACUUCCCGAAGAGGGUGAAUUACCAAGAUUUUGCUACUUGUACAUAUAUGAUACCGAUCAUGAGGUUCAAAAUAGAUUUAAAGCAUGCGAGUCUAAUAAGAAGAAAAAGACCACAUCUAACGAGUCCAUGGCAAAUCCGUUUUCUCUUUGAGUUUUGGACUAUUCACGAGUUGAUGGGCUUAUUGGAUUUCAUCGAUCCAUUGGCUAAGCAAUUUAUAAUGGCAUGUGAUCAGUUCGGUUCAAAUCCAAUGUGACAACCCGAAAAUUUUUUCGUUAUCCUUAUCCAGUUUCCGUUAAUACAAUUUG